rnacentral:rRNA from 1 species
GACGGGGGGGGGCAAGUGUUCUUCGGAAUGACUGGGCGUAAAGGGCACGUAGGCGGUGAAUCGGGUUGAAAGUGAAAGUCGCCAAAAAGUGGCGGAAUGCUCUCGAAAACCAAUUCACUUUGAGUGAGACAGAGGAGAGUGGAAUUUCGUGUGUAGGGGUGAAAUCCGUAGAUCUACGAAGGAACGCCAAAAGCGAAGGCAGCUCUCUGGGUCCCUACCGACGCUGGGGUGCGAAAGCUGGGGAGCGAACAGG